rnacentral:rRNA from 1 species
AUUGAACGCUGGCGGCAUGCCUUACACAUGCAAGUCGAACGGCAGCACGGGGCAACCUGGUGGCGAGUGGCGAACGGGUGAGUAAUGCAUCGGAACGUACCUUUCAGUGGGGGAUAACGUAGCGAAAGUUACGCUAAUACCGCAUAUUCUGUGAGCAGGAAAGCAGGGGAUCGCAAGACCUUGCGCUGAUUGAGCGGCCGAUGUCAGAUUAGCUAGUUGGUGGGGUAAUGGCCCACCAAGGCGACGAUCCGUAACUGGUCUGAGAGGAUGAUCAGUCACACUGGAACUGAGACACGGUCCAGACUCCUACGGGAGGCAGCAGUGGGGAAUAUUGGACAAUGGGCGAAAGCCUGAUCCAGCCAUGCCGCGUGAGUGAAGAAGGUCUUCGGAUUGUAAAGCACUUUAAGUCGGGAGGAAGGGCUGUAGGCUAAUACCUUGCAGUUUUGACGUUACCGACAGAAUAAGCACCGGCUAACUUCGUGCCAGCCGCCGCUGUAAUAC